GCUCAACCGAGGAAGUGCUUCGAAAACUGGUAAACUUGAGUGCAAAAGAAGAAAGUGGAACUCCAUGUGUAGCGGUGGAAUGCGUAAAUAUAUGGAAGAACACCAGUGGCGAAGGCGGCUUUCUGGUCUGUAACUGACGCUGAAAUUCGAAAGCAUGGGUAGCAAACAGGAUUAGAUACCCUGGUAGUCCAUGCCGUAAACGAUGAGUGCUAAGUGUUGGAGGGUUUCCGCCCUUCAGUGCUGCAGCUAACGCAUUAAGCACUCCGCCUGGGGAGUACGAUCGCAAGAUUGAAACUCAAAGGAAUUGACGGGGGCCCGCACAAGCGGUGGAGCAUGUGGUUUAAUUCGAAGCAACGCGAAGAACCUUACCAGGUCUUGACAUACCAUGAAAAGCUAAGAGAUUAGUCUUUCCCUUCGGGGACAUGGAUACAGGUGGUGCAUGGUUGUCGUCAGCUCGUGUCGUGAGAUGUUGGGUUAAGUCCCGCAACGAGCGCAACCCUUAUUAUCAGUUGCCAGCAUUCAGUUGGGCACUCUGGUGAGACUGCCGGUGACAAACCGGAGGAAGGUGGGGACGACGUCAAAUCAUCAUGCCCCUUAUGACCUGCGCUACACACGUGCUACAAUGGUCGGUACAACG
rnacentral:rRNA from 1 species